rnacentral:tRNA from 2 species
UCCGCGAUAGCUCAGUUGGUAGAGCAUUCGACUGUUAAUCGAAUGGUCGCUGGUUCGAGUCCAGCUCGCGGAGCCA